rnacentral:rRNA from 1 species
GUACCGUCAUUAUAGCUCGCAAGCCACACAUUCUUCCCAUUCAAAAGCAGUUUACAAUCCAGAGGACCGUCUUCCUGCACGCGGCAUGGCUGGGUCAGAGUUGCCUCCAUUGCCCAAUAUUCCCUACUGC